rnacentral:piRNA from 1 species
UGGACGUAGAGGGCCCUUGGUUCCGCC